rnacentral:rRNA from 1 species
CCUACGGGGGGCAGCAGUGGGGAAUAUUGGGCAAUGGGCGCAAGCCUGACCCAGCAACGCCGCGUGAAGGAAGAAGGCUUUCGGGUUGUAAACUUCUUUUGUCAGGGACGAAGCAAGUGACGGUACCUGACGAAUAAGCCACGGCGAACUACGUGCCAGCAGCCGCGGUAAUACGUAGGUGGCAAGCUUUAUCCGGAUUUAUUGGGUGUAAAGGGCGUGUAGGCGGGAAUGGAAGUCAGAUGUGAAAACUAUGGGCUCAACCCAUAGCCUGCAUUUGAAACUGUAUGUCGUGAGUGCUGGAGAGGCAAUCGGAAUUCCGUGUGUAGCGGUGAAAUGCGUAGAUAUACGGAGGAACACCAGUGGCGAAGGCGGAUUGCUGGACAGUAACUGACGCUGAGGCGCGAAAGCGUGGGGAGCAAACAGGAUUAGAUACCCUUGUAGUC